rfam:Gammaproteobacteria bacterium RBG_16_37_9 RBG_16_scaffold_103665, whole genome shotgun sequence.
CGCGGGGUGGAGCAGUCUGGUAGCUCGUCGGGCUCAUAACCCGAAGGUCAUAGGUUCAAAUCCUAUCCCCGCUA